GGGCUCUUUGAAAUGUCCGGCGCCGGAGCGUCUGGGUGCUUCAGUUGGAGAGGGUCCCGUUUCCAGUCAUUCUUCAGCCUGGUGAUUCCCGCGCUCCCCUGAGGAGCAUAUAAAGUACGUCGGUUCUGCCAGGUAGGAACGCGCUGCUGGACACUCGGCCGUAAGGCGGAUUCCGGAUCCCCUCCCACUCCGACCCUUCCUUCCAGAAGGGCCGGUUCCCAAGCGGCCCCUUUAGACACAUCCCAGCGGUUUCCGACGGCCCUCACGAUGAAAACUGCUGUCCGUUGGUGAAGGCAGCCUCUUCUGUACUCCUCGCCGCUGACAUCCUGCGGCGGACCUACCUGUGGAGGCAUACCAGGAACCAGACGAUGACCCCUUCCAAAAGUUGGGUCCUUGAGGAGAGCUACUAACUUGGGAUCCUGGUACACCCUCUACAUGCAGUGGUGAAGCUUAUCUAACAGUCAUUCAUAGAAUCAGUUUGGGAAGGGGAAUUUUCGCUGAACUCUCAUAGAGAAACUGUGUUUUAGAUAACAAAGUUCUGCGCGGUUAAAAUUGAACAGAAAUUUUUUUGCACAGAAAUUAGGAUUACCGAAAAUACUGAAGAAAGACUACCUCUGAUUGGACUCUUCUCAAGGAAUUAAUAAUUCAAGAACUAAGGAAAGAAAAAAGUGAUUAUAUGAAAAUACUGAAGUUUUUUCAUAUAAGCAACUGAAGGCUGAUCCUGUGUGGGUAAAUGUGAACGCUGAAUUCCCACAUUCCAGUGUGCGACCUGGGAUUAAGGCAGCAAUUGAGCAGGGAGUCUCACUGUAUCACCCAGGCUGAAGUGCAUUGGUGCAAUCUUGGCUCACUGUAUCUCCACCCCCAGGUUCAAGCGAUUCUCCUGCCUCAGCCUCCCAAGCAGCUGGGAUUACAGAGUUUCGCUCUGUCGCCCAGGCUAAAGUGCAGUGGCGUGAUCUCUGGUCACCACAACCUCCACCUCCCAGGUUCAAGUGAUUCUCCUGCCUCAGCCUCCCGAGUACAACCCUGAAUUUGAUGGAGGAAGCAAUGUGUAUUUGUCCAUUUUUCAUGCUGCUGAUAAAGACAUACCCGAGACUGGGCAAUUUACAAAUGAAAGAGGUUUAUUGGACUUACAGUUCUACGUGGCUGGGGACACCUCACCAACAUGGCAGAAGGUGAAAGGCACAUCUCACAUGGCAGCAGACAAGAGAAGGGAAUGAGAGCCAAGCAAAAGUUUCCCCUUAUCAAACCAUCAGAUCUCGUGAGACUUAUUCACCACCACAAGAACAGUAUGGGGGAAACCGCCCCCAUGAUUCAAUUAUCCCCCACUGGGUGCCUCCCACAACAUGUGGGAAUUUUGGGAGUACAAUUCAAGAUGAGAUUUGGGUGGGGACACAGCCACACCGUAUCACAAUGUGUCCAGCUAAAACAUUACAAUUCCCUACCUCCCUUGCAACUGGGGAUGACCGCGACCUCUCUGGCCAGCAAAACGCUGCCAAGAUUAUCUGGAAAAGUUUUGUCUUCCAUUUGUAGGUGCUACUCCAUCUCUCCUUUGCACCCCUUUGCCAGAACCAGAUGGAAACUGGAAUUUUCAGAAAAGACUGAUGAGCAUGAGAAAUGGUUAAUAUGUGCCUAACCUUGUUUAAACAAAAUUUCAUCUCUCUCUCUGCUAUGGACACAGAUGGCUUCACUCCAUCCUGUAUUCUCCGGACCAUGGUAGAAUUCCAGACUCGCAAGAAAUAGAGCCUAGAGUGGUGGCCUAUAAUUACAGUUACUAAGAAGGCUGAGGCAGGAGGAUCCUUUGAGUCCAGCAGUUUGAGGCCAGCCUGGACACCACAGCAAGACCACCAAUAAAUAAAUAAAUAAAUGGAA